UACGAAGGGGGCUAGCGUUGCUCGGAAUCACUGGGCGUAAAGCGCACGUAGGCGGCUUCUUAAGUCAGGGGUGAAAUCCUGGAGCUCAACUCCAGAACUGCCUUUGAUGCUGAGUAGCUUGAGUCCGGGAGAGGUGAGUGGAACUGCGAGUGUAGAGGUGAAAUUCGUAGAUAUUCGCAAGAACACCAGUGGCGAAGGCGGCUCACUGGCCCGGUACUGACGCUGAGGUGCGAAAGCGUGGGGAGCAAACAGG
rnacentral:rRNA from 1 species